UUUGUACAUUGGGUAGAGUUCGGCCCAACCAGAACUGAGUGGAGAGGGGUGGCCAAGCCUGAUUUUAAAAAAAGUCAAAAGAGACCAUGGAUGUGCCAGUGCCACACAUGCAGCGUCACCUGGAAUGCGGGUCUUCCAGAAUUCCUGCGAUAGGUGGAGACGGGCUCAUACUUCGCUCGAUCCCUCUCUCUGUUCUGGCCUGCUGGACAGGAGCCAAGAGGAGUUGGUCGCUCAUCUCUUCACCUGCUACCUUCUCACCGUCCCCCGUCCCAAGGAUAGGACACGUUCCUGCAACUAAAAUCUCUUGGUUGAUUGAGAGCAGCAGAGCUCUUGUUGGUCUGAGAAGGCAGGUUAAGUGGCCAAAGCGCACACCUCCGCUGGGGAGGGUCCUUGGCUGUGGACUUGAUAAAUUCACUAAAAAAUUGUGCGGUGGUCCCUGAUUCUGUGAUUUCUGCUCCUAUCUCAGUCUUCUCAUGACUGACCCCAGGCUGGGCCAACACUGAGAUGGGAACCCGAGACCAGAGGCUUCGGUACUUACAGUAGAACUGUCUCAGGCCUUGCCCAUGCUAUUGCAAGUAGUUUUUACCUUCCUCAGUACUUACGGAAAAUCAACACAAUACAAUCUCUGCUAGUUAUGCAUAGACUAUCGGAGCUGGGAGGGGCCUUAGAGAUGCUCAAACUCAACCCUGUUGGAGAAGGGAAGUGACCCAUCCAUAGUCAAUGCCACUUAAUAGCCGAGCCGGGGCCAGAGCUGGGCUCCUGAUCCCAGUCCAGGCUGCAUGCUGCCUCCCCUCACGCAGUACUUGUAUGCGUCCACACAGCACCCCACGGGACCUUCACAUCCUAAAGUGUCUUCUGAAAUAUCAGAGAUUAAAUGCUGUUCGUGUCAUAUUUAGUGUUGUGGCUUUUUAUUUCAUCUUUGGGAAGCAACAGUAGAGUAAGUCAUUAUCAACCCCAAAUUUCCUGACCAGGUUAUGCAAUUUGAGAAAAUGCCAAAAGAAGGUAAUCUGAGUGGGUGGUGUGAGCUUGUGAAUACAGGCUUGGGGAUCAGACGUGGCGAGACAUGACUCCUACUUCCCCUUAGGAAAUAAGUGGGACCCGUGGCUGUGACCUGGUUGUUGUCCAAGAUCCCCAGAUGUGAGGGGCAGAUCCAGAAAGGAAGCUCUUAUUGGAAAGAUGCCCUUUAGGUUGGCUGAGCAUUUUGGGGCUGCAUCCUUAGGGGCCCAGCACUGUCAAAGCUCAGCAUUUCUGAACAUGAUGAGAAGGUUAAGGUAAGGACGAGUGGCCCGCUCCACCCUGUUGUGGUAUGUGGGGUGUGGGUGUGAUGGUUUCUGUGUACUCUCUCACACACACACCCAAACGCUUGGUGCCUUACUCCUGGCCCUGGCUGCGGACUUGGUCUGUCACAGCCCACAGGAACUCCCUCAGUUGGCCAAGCCAAGUCUUAUUACAGACUCCCCAAAAGGGAGAAGGCCCCCUCCCGGAGGACUGAGUGGGCAUGAUGUAUUUGGUUCAUCUGCUUCAUGUGUAUAUUUCAAGACACAACCUGAGGAACGAUCACUUUGUUUUUUGUUAAUUGCCCUGAUAAAUAGGGAAACUUAGGGUUCACUGUAAAGUAAGCCUUGGUAAGAAUCUGGGGCCCUGACCCCAACUCAAGGCUGACUGACACAGGUUGGUCAGGAGUAUCUCCUACGAAAUCCCCACUCCCCAAUAGAGGUCAUUUCUCUCCAGACCAGAGUUAUGUACAUCCUGCCUGCCAGCCCUGCAGCCUCACCCUGGUGGCAUGCCCACUUCCCCAAUUCUCUUCAUGUGAGAGCCUUCCUUCCCUUGUUAUUGAAAGAUGCCAUGUGUCCCAUGUCCUCAUCCUUCAAAGAGCAUGUUUCUCUCUAUAGAUGGUCUUUGGGAUUCAAAAAUAGACUAGUUGUCCUCACUUUGAAAAUGAGCAGUGGGAUCCCAAUGAGGACAUCUGCUAUCCUGAAGGUUAUGUUAGAGCCACCAGUGGAAUGUCUCUCCCUCUUAUAUCCGUAUAGGAUUGCUCUUCAUUCAACUUUAACUGAUUGGGUGGGAGGUGAGUGUCUUCAGGGUUGUUGUUAUCUCUUUUUGAAGGAUUUUGGAUGAAAGUGUAUAAAAGUCAGUCAUUUGAUUUAAAAAACCAAAGUGACAACUCUACUUCCCCUUGACCUUGCAUCUGUCAUACCCUGUUGCAGUCUUGCUACUGCUGGGAACAAACCACCUGCCAAAUACAGGCCUCUCAGCCUGGCACGUGGGGUCUGUGCCCUCAGAUAUACUGGCAGCUGCUCCUCUGAAUCACUACUCAGGUGCUACUCUGGGAGUUCUGCCCUGUGACUCGGUGGGGUAGGCCUACGUGCAGUCCUGCACAGAGGUCAGGGGAUGGGCCCAGGCAUGUCUUAGAUGCCUUUCUUCACAGUGUGAAGUAUGGUCUGGCAGAGGCCUCCCUGUAACCCGGGGGUAGGCAGGUAUGCAAAACUUGGUGUUUAUUCCAUGGAAGGAAGGGCGGAUGGGAGACUGGAGAACAGGCACUGUUUGAUAUGAGUUAGAGCUGGAGGUGAAGAUUUCAGGGUCUACAAUAUGUGUAUGUGAGAUGAGCCACUCCAUCCUUUGAUCCAUGCUCAUACAUGUAGGAAGGAAAGGAUCAUACUAUUAUAAUAUGAAGCUGUAGGCUCAUAGAUGAGAGGAGGUAGAGACCUGGUGCAUGGACAAGAGAAUUCAUGUUCAUCUCAGUUAGAAUCCAAGAAGGAAUUCAGGUAAAAUGCUUCCGUGCCCCUUUUUCUCAUGUGAGUGACUAUGGAGCAUAUAGAUCUGGGCUCAGUUCAACCUCCAUCCCUUACCAAUCAGGGAACCCUGAUUGGGACUUCCUGGAACGUCAAGUUCUCAGUCUGUAACAUGGGGAUAAUGCCAUCCUUUUGAAAAUUGUGGGGAUGAACAAGUGCUAUAAACUGUGUAAAGGUCAGUGCUUGACACGGUGUAGAAACUCCAUAAGUGAUAGUAUUGUCUUCUGGAUCUUAUUCCUUCCUCCUUACAGGGAGCAAAUGUAGAAAGGGUAGGAAGCCAAGAGCACACUCCAUGCAGCGCUGAGGAAUCAGGAGAUCUUUGUGCAAAUGGAAGUCCAAAGUAACAACCAGGCUUUGGCACACCUUCCAGGUGACUCACCUUCCGCCACACCAUGAUUCCUGGAAUUUGAAGAGAUCAGCAUCAAUAUGGUGUUUGUGUUUCCAUGAAGGCUGAACCGUUUAUUUCCAGCUUCUCUAUCCUCAAACUCGGCUUCCCCUUUUUCAUCAAUCUCUUGCGGCCCAUGACCAUAUAGUUUGAUUCUUUUUGCUUCCUUUAAUUUUUCUUUCACUGUGUAGUUCAAAGAACUAUAGGCUAUCCAAUAAUUAUGUUUCAUUAUUUAUCUAUCAUUACUUAUUUAUUGUUUCAAUCAUUUUUUAAAUGAAGGGGAAGAAUACUGGUAAACAUAUAGCAGGAGGGAACUCUGGCUAAAGUCAGGAAGAGGUGGGGCUAGAAAAGGUUUCAAGAUUCUUGGGGCCAUUUUUAAAAAUAGGGUUAGGCAUAUUUCAGGAAUGAAUCGGGCAUUAGUUUACAGGAGGCAAGAAGGUACAGUGGAUGACCUCUCUAAAUCCCUUCUGCUAUAAGGGCCACAUGAUUUACUGAACUCAUCAUCAUCAUUGCCAUCACCACCAUCACUUCCAUCAUCACCAUCACCACGAUCAUUGUCAUCAUUGUCAUCAUUGACAGAGCAUACAAGUGAGAUAAAACCAGGUGAUGCUCUAAUUCCAGGCCGUCCUUCCCUCUUGCUCAAUACCUGUCUGAAUGGUUGUUCUUAUUCACCACGUGCCAUGUAUUUCGAGUUCAAAAUAAUCUGAGUCAAAAUGAUAUCCUGACAAAGCUCAGGACGAGGUGAGCUUCACUAAAAAAUGUAUGUUUCAAUGAAACCAAACAACUUAAUUGGAAAGACCAACACCCUGUCAAAAAGAAUCACAAUAUAACUUAAGGUGAAAGUUACAUCAUAUAACUAAGGGCUGGAAGGAAAUGUUUAGAUUAUCUAAUGCAACCUCCUACCUGAAGAGGAAUUAUACCUAUAAGUGGAUAUAAAUAUAGUCAGAAAAACGAAUGGAUAAAUGGGUGGGUGAGUGGAUGGAUGGGUGGAUGGAUAGAUGGGUGGAUGGGUGAAUGGAUGGGAGAGAGGAGGGGAGAGGAAAAACUGAAAAAUACAGUGGCCGAGGGUUAGGUCAAAUAUGGCAUCAUUAUCAUUUUGAAAUCUGGUACAAUUCUAGCCUUAAUCUUUGGCCACCCUGCUUCCACUUGGAGAGGCAGGGACUACCCCGUGCCUCUAACUUCACCCACCACUGGAAAAGUGCGUCUUCUGGUGGUUGCCCUGCCCUGAGGCCAGCCUCCUGCAAGAAGAGGUUGGGUAAUGACCAAUUUUUUUGUCUGUGGUUUUUCUUCUGCAUGAGACUGAAAUUGUGAUUUCAGUUUAAUAUGAAAUAUAUAUUUGGUCUUCAUCUCCAUUUCUGGCUCAGAGAUCCUAAAACCUUUGGAAUUUCUUAUGAGGAGACGGAUAAAGGUGUGUUUUGUUAUGUCAAUGAGUGACUUUUGAAAAACCCCAAGGUCGCCUGAGGACGGAGGCUGACCACCUGGGAACUUUUAGUCCCACCCUCCCACCCACCCCACUUCUGGGCAAAGCAGAGGGGCUGAAGAUUGAGUUUAAUUGCCAAUGGCCAGUGAUUGAAUCAAUCACACCGAUGUAAUGAAGCCUCCCUAAAAACCCCAGAGUUCGGGGAGCUUCCAGGUCGGUGAACCAGAACAGUUCCCACCCCGAGCUCCCAGGAACAGAGCUCCUUUGUUCCAGACCUCGCCCUGUGUAUCUCUUCAUCUGGCUGUUCAUUAGUUUCCUUUAAUAUACUUUGUAAUAAACCAGUAAUCCAGUGAGU